rnacentral:rRNA from 1 species
UACGGAGGGAGCUAGCGUUGUUCGGAAUUACUGGGCGUAAAGCGCACGUAGGCGGCUUUGUAAGUUAGAGGUGAAAGCCCGGGGCUCAACCCCGGAAUUGCCUUUAAGACUGCAUCGCUUGAAUCCAGGAGAGGUGAGUGGAAUUCCGAGUGUAGAGGUGAAAUUCGUAGAUAUUCGGAAGAACACCAGUGGCGAAGGCGGCUCACUGGACUGGUAUUGACGCUGAGGUGCGAAAAGCGUGGGGAGCAAACAGGG